rnacentral:lncRNA from 1 species
GUCCGGACCAGGAAAAACAUUGCACAAAUGGGCGGACGUUGUGUUCCACACUGUGCAAGAUUCUUUGGAGGGUUUCAGUGGAGGAGUGAUAUACUUUGGAGAAAAUACCAGUCUGGCAGCACAGGGAGAAUGGGCGGAGGGAGAGGGAGAAACCCAGACAAGAAGCUGCCGUGGUGAUCUGGGCACUGAUGAUGGCGGCUGGACCUGCCAUACAAUGGGACAUUCGAGAAACAUUUCGAGGUUGAGUGGAGAAGCAAAUGGACUCAAGAAUCCAAGAGUGGGGGCUCCAGCCUAGACAGAGCACAGGUGUCCCCUGCUCUCUGGAAGCGGAGCAUUCCUAUGAACACUUUCGAAAACCAAAGUGGCGGAAAGUGGUGAGUCAAUUACCAGUAACUUACACGGAGCAAAUGCUGAGCAUUCCCAGAACCCCAAAUCACCUCUCUGGCUUUUUUGCAACCUUAGGACACAGCUUGCCGACAGAUGCACAAAAUCAAUGGAGACAAAUCACAGAUACUCAGAGACGCAGUUCAAAGCUCUGGAGGCCGGAUGCGGAGACUCGGAGUUGCUGAGGGUGCGUCCCAAGAAGGAGCUGGGUGGGGGCGGGGGAGGGGGCUGCUCUUCUGCUCAGGGGCAGUGCUGCCUCUACAAAUGCUGAACGCUACUGCGGCCUUUAUUGUAAAAGUGAACAACCUCUUGAGAUUUCUUUCCGUUAGCAAAAACAGCAGGUCCUAACGUAGGUCUUUGUAAAAGCAAAGUAGCCUAACUACUGAAGGCCUGAGCUUUCGAAACGCGGGGGACACCUGAACCCAGGGAUCUCUACCCUUACCUCUACCUAUGUUCCCAGGCUCGGCUCUCAGUGUCCUCAGCCCUCCCUGCUCCCCCUGGGUCCCACCUUGUAAGUGCCAGCUGCAGGCCUAUGGUGGGCGCUGCCUGGAUCGCCCCUCACAUUUUCCCAUCUCCCAUCCUUACUGAAGGUCUUAUAUGGGAAGGAAGACUUUCCCGCGAUAGAGGGUCCCUAUCAGUCUUCCCAAUUCCCUUUCUCCUACAUAAACUCAGAAUCAACUUCUUCUUUUAAACAGAUGUUUAUUCAUUUUGAGAAAAAAUGAGAGAGAGUGUGUGCAUGAGAGCGGGAGGGGCAGAGAGAGAGAGAGAGAGACAGAAUCCCAAGCUAUCAGCGCAGAGCCCAACAUGGAGUUCGAGCCCACAAACUGCGGGAUCAUGACCUGAGCCGAAAUCAAGAGUCAAACACUUAACCGGCUGAGCCACCCAGGCACCCCCAGAAUCCACUCCUUUUUUUCUAUAGCUCUGAGAAAGUCAAUGGACAGGGUUAUUCUGGUUCUUGUCCAUGCAUUGGAAUUCUUUGCGUGGAUUCAUCUUGCAGAUGUCAGAGUUACUUCGUCGUAAGACAAGGAUAAUUCAACAACUAUUUAUUAAAUUGUGUACGCUGCUUCCCCCCAAGUUUACUCGAUGGAAAAUCUUAAUGUGCCUGAAAACAGAAGUUCAGGGGCCCUUUCAGAUAAGAACAGAUGAAUCUUGAAGGUCAGAGCACUGGGGAGAAAUGUGUGUGAGCUGAAGGCACAGAGGAAAUGCUUGCUCACUGGGUGUUUUCCAGGAUAGUUAUUUAAGCAAUUGCAUUGCUCUGUCUUUAUCCUGGCACAAGAAAGAACAACUACUAAAAAUCCACAGGGCAUGAUCACAUUCCAACAAAAAAGUAGCAGCCAGAAAUGAAUCAGCUAUUUUAUACAGCGGUUAUCUUAGGACUGUAGUGACUGAUGUCAGGUAGGUGCAGGCAUGAUUUUACAGGUCUGUGCAACGGAGAGCCCCAAACCACUUCCCUGUCUUUCUGUUCUGAAAAGCAGGACACAGUUGCAUUUACAAAGAAGUCAUCUUUAAGACUUUAAAAAAAUUCAACUGUAAUUAACCUACGGUGUGACGUUAGUUUCAGGUGUACAAUGUAGGGAUUCCACACUUCCUUACCUUACUCAGUGCUCAUCAUGGGUGAACUCUUAAUCCCCUUCACCCGUUUCACCCAAUCGUCCACCCACCUCCCCUCUUGGUAACCAUCUGCUUGUUCUGUGUAGUUAAGAGUCUGGGUUUUUUUGCUUGUCUCUUUUUUUAAUUUGUUUGUUUGCUGUGCUUCUUAAAUUCCACAUAUGAGUGACAUCACAUGGUAUUCGUCUUUCUCUGACUUCUUUCACUUUGCAUUACACCCUCUCGAUCCAUCCAUGUUGUUGCAGACGGCAAGAUUUCAUUCUUUUCUAUGGCUGAAUAAUAUUCCAUUGUAGAUAGAUGCCACAUCUUUAUCCGUUCAUCUAUCGAUGGACCCUUGGGUGGCUUCUCUUGGCUAUUGUAAGUAAUGCUGCAGUAGCCAUAGGACGGCAUGUAUCUUUCUGAAUUGGUGUUUUUGUAACUUCUUGGGGAAAUACCCAGGAGUGGAAUUACUGAGUCAUAUGGUAAAUUCUAUUUUUAAUUUUUUAAGGAAUGUCCAAUCUGUUUUCCACAGUGGCUGCACCAGUUUGCAUUCCCACCAGUAGUGCACUAGGAUUCCUUUUGCUCCGUACCCUUGCCAACACCUGUCAUUUCUUGUGUUUUUUAUUUUAGCCAUUCUGACCAGUGUGAGGUGAUUGCCCCUUGUAAUUUUGAGUUUCAUUUCCCUGAUGAUGAGUGAUGUUGAGCAUCUUUUCAUGUGUCUGCUGGCCAUCUCUACAUCUUCUUUGGAAAAUUGUCUGUUCAUGUCCACUGACCAUAUAUUAAUUGCAUCGUUGUCUUUUGGGUGUUGACUUGUAUAAGUUCUUUAUAUAUUUUGCGUAUUGACCUCUUAUUGGAUGCAUCAUUUGCAAAUAACCUCUAUUCAUCUUUUGGUUUUGUUGAUGCUUGUUGUCACCGUGCAAAAGCUUUUUACUUUGAUAUGGUUGCAAUAAUUAAUUUUGCUUUUGUUUUCUUUGCCAAAAGAGACAUAUCUGGAAAAAUAUUUCUUUUUUAAAAAAUGCUUAUUUAUUUAUUUUUGAGAGAGAGAGAGAGAGAGUGAGUGUGGGGAAGGGCAGAGAGAGAAGGAGGGAGAGAGAAUCCCAAGCAGGCUCCACAUUAUCAGUGCAGAGCCUGACCCAGGACUUGAUCCCAUGGACUGUGAGAUCAUGACUUUAGCUGAAAUCAAGAGUUGGUCACUUAACCGACUGAGCCACCCAGGCACUUCUGGAAAAAUAUUUCUGUGGCUGAUGUCAAAGAGAUUACUGCCUACGUUUUUUGUUUUGUUUUGUUUUUUGUUUUGUCUUGUUUUGUUUUUUUCCUAAGACUUUUAUGGUUUCAGGUCUCACAUUUAGGUCUUUCAUUUUGAGUUUACUUUUGUAUAUGGUGUAAGAAAGUGGUCCAAUUUCAUUCUUUUGCAUGUAACUGCCCAGUUUUCCCAACACGAUUUGCUGAAGAGACUGUCUGCUUCCUAUCGUAUAGUCUUGCCUCUUUUGUUAUAGACUAAUUGACCAUAAAAGCUUGGGUUUAUUUCUGGACUCUUCAUUUUGUUCUACUGAUCUAUGUACUUCUUUUUGGCCAGUACCAUACUGUUUUGAUUACUAUAGCUUUGUAGUACACCUUGAAAACUGGGAUUGUGAUACAUCAAGUCUUGCUCUUUUUUUUUUUUUUUUUCAAAAUUGCUUUGGCUGUUCAGGGUCUUUUUCGGUUGCGUAGAAAUUUAGGAUUAUUUGUUCUAGUUCUGUGAAAAAUGCUGUUGGUAUUUUGAUAGGGAUUGCAUUGCAUGUGCAGAUUGCUUUGGGUAGUAUUUUAUUUUAUUUUAACAAUGUUGGUUCUUCCAACUCAUGAACAUAGACUAUCUUUCCAUUUACUUGUGCCGUCUUUAAUUUCUUUCACCAAAGUUUUAUAGUUUUCAGAGUACAGGUCAUUUACCUCCUUAGUUAAGUUUUAAGGCUUCUUUAACAGCAACUAAAAAGUAACCUGAAGUGUGUCCUGUGUUAAAGGCCCGGUUCAUAACAUUAUUCCAAGCUCCUUUAACUCAGGCUCAUUCAGGGGGCUGAUAGGACACCUGGGCUUGCCUCAUUUGUGUGCCACUCGGACUGUCCCAGGAUGGCCGGUAAAAGCAGUUUCAUAUUCCGCAACAGUCGACAGAACCUGACCUGCAGACUGUGCUGAUUGCCUUCACUAUUUACCCUUAACUGGAAAGAGUGAUCUGAAUACGGAUGGCCGAAUGGAAGCAACCAGUUCAAGGAAGCAGUCCAUGGCGGGCUGGUCCACGAUCACUAGGAACUGAGCCUAGAGGUUUGUUUUUCUCUUUUAAUAGGCGGAUGAUAGCAGAAGACUGCUCGAGUCUGGCGCAUGGCUUGGGAAUGCUGUGCUCAGGAUGUGCUUCUAUCGUCUGGCAGAAUGUGAAGGACGCUCUGUAAUAACCCCUGAUAACACUGGAUCCCUUCUCCUUGGAACCACAGUCCCCUCCUAACUGAUGUUACAGGAUGAAGAAACACCCAAGGAACUCUGCCUUGGGAGGACGAAAUAAUACGACCUGGGAUCACCUUUCCCUUUGAAUCUCAAAAUGUCCUCUUCUGUCUAUAAAGGAUGCUUCACCACUUCGCAAAUGGUAAUAAAUGGUGCAAGAAUGAAAAAAAAAAUCUUUGACCUGGGCUGAUAGGACCAAGAAAUGUGAAACAUACCCAAGGGAAACUCUGACCCACUUAGGCUUCUACCAGAAAAAAAAUUGCCCCAAAUCCUCCAAAACCACCCCCUCCCCCAGCAAAUAAACAAAAAACCCCAGGAUUUCAUAGUUACUUCCUGUCCUAUUUUAAACAGGGCCUUAAAAAGACAAGUAAGAGAUAAAUUUAGCAAGGUUUACAAGUCAGAAGGACCCAUUAAGGAAGUGCACAAAAGGCCAUGUGAGGUUCUGCUAUGGAUAUUUGCAUCAACAACAACAACAACAACAGGGAAGUGGCCUUGAGUCCUGGGUCAGGACUCUCCCCCAGGGUUGGUAUAUAAGCCCCUCCCCCAGCAGGAGGCGGCACCAGACCUCCCUCACCUCCCGAGUCUCCCUCCUCCCCUCUCCCGAGUCCUCUCUGCCGACACCAUGGGGUGCUGUGGCUGCGGAAGUUGCGGCGGCUGCGGCGG